rnacentral:rRNA from 1 species
GACGAACGCUAGCGGCAGGCCUAAUACAUGCAAGUCGAACGGUAAGGUCCCUUCGGGGAUACACGAGUGGCGCACGGGUGCGUAACACGUAUGCAACCUACCCUUUAGUGGGGGAUAGUCAUUGGAAACGAUGAAUAAUACCCCAUGUUAUCAUAAAGUAGCAUUACUUAAUGAUCAAAGCUUUAGUGCUAAAGGAUGGGCAUGCGCCCCAUUAGCUAGUUGGUAGAGUAACGGUCUACCAAGGCAACGAUGGGUAGCUGGUCUGAGAGGAUGAUCAGCCACACGGGCACUGAGACACGGGCCCGACUCCUACGGGAGGCAGCAGUAAGGAAUAUUGGUCAAUGGGGGCAACCCUGAACCAGCCAUGCCGCGUGCAGGACGACGGCCCUCUGGGUUGUAAACUGCUUUUAUCUGGGAAUAAUGUGCUCCUAUACGGAGUUUUGUAGGUACCAGAAGAAUAAGCACCGGCUAACUACG